UUCCGUGAUGUAAGUGGUUAGCACGUGGUAUUUAUACUGCCGGGAUUGUGAGUUCGAUCCUCACCUAUGGAAG